rnacentral:misc_RNA from 1 species
AAGUCGUAACAAGGUUUCCGUAGGUGAACCUGCGGAAGGAUCAUUAAAAUUAAUUUAUUACAUUGUUUUUGAAGCAAACACUAAUAACCAUUAAUAUUCAAUAACUUAGAAAAAUCAAAACUUUCAACAACGGAUCUCUUGGUUCUC